UGGUGAAAUGAGGGACCUGAUGCAGCCAUGCCGCGUGUGUGAAGAAGGCCUUCGGGUUGUAAACCACUUUCAGUUGUGAAGAAAAUUUCGUAUUUAAUACCUGCUAUCCGUGACGUUAACAACAGAACAAGCACCGGCUAACUCCGUGCCGGCACCCGCGGUAAUACGGAGGGUGCUAGCGUUAAUCGGAAUUACUGGGCGUAAAGCGCACGCAGGCGGUUUGUUAAGCUAGAUGUGAAAGCCCCGGGCUCAACCUGGGAUGGUCAUUUAAAACUGGCAGACUAGAGUCUUGGAGAGGGGAGUGGAAUUCCAGGUGUAACGGUGAAAUGCGUAAAUAUCUGGAGGAACAUCAGUGGCGAAGGCGACUCCCUGGCCAAAGACUGACGCUCAUGUGCAAAAGUGUGGGUAGCGAACAGGAUUAAAUACCCUGGUAGUCCACACCGUACACGCUGUCUACUAGCUGUGUGUGACUUUAAGACGUGCGUACCCAAGCUGACGCGCUAAGUAGACCGCCUGGGGAGUACGGCCCGCUGGGUUAAAACUCAAAGGAAUUUGACGGG
rnacentral:rRNA from 1 species